rnacentral:tRNA from 1 species
CCUGAUGGCUCAGAGGUUAAAGCAUCUGCCUGGCAUGCAGGAGACCUGGGUUUGAUCCCAGGGUCGGGA